GACGAACGCUGGCGGCGUGCCUGACACAUGCAAGUCGGACGGUUCUUGCACCUUCAAGCUUGCUUGCUGGUGCAAGGAUAGUGGCGGACGGGUGAGUAACGCGUGAACAUCUACCCAUUGGAGGGGGACAACCCGUCGAAAGGCGGGCUAAUACCGCGUAAGCCGCGAGGUGAGAGGCUGCCUAUUGGUGGCCGCCGAUGGAUGGGUUCGCGUCCUAUCAGCUGGUUGGUGGGGUAACGGCCUACCAAGGCGAAGACGGGUAGCCGGUCUGAGAGGAUGGCCGGCCACACUGGAACUGAGACACGGUCCAGACUCCUACGGGAGGCAGCAGUGAGGAAUAUUGGUCAAUGGACGAGAGUCUGAACCAGCCAAGUCGCGUGAAGGAAGACGGUUCUAUGAAUUGUAAACUUCUUUUGUGCAGGAAUAAAGUGGGUUACGUGUAACCUUUUGUAUGUACUGUACGAAUAAGGAUCGGCUAACUCCGUGCCAGCAGCCGCGGUAAUCU
rnacentral:rRNA from 1 species